CCUGAACGCUGGCGGCGUGGUUAAGACAUGCAAGUCGCACGGGCGUAGCAAUACGUCAGUGGCGAACGGGUGAGUAAUGAAUCGCUAAUGUACCCCGGACUCUGGGAGUAGCCAUCCGAAAGGGUGGGUAAUACCAGAUGACAUACCCUCAAGGCAUCUUGAGGGUCUCAAAGGUCCGCCGGUCUGGGCGCAGGCGAUUUCGUAUCAGCUAGUUGGUGCGGGUAACGGCCCACCAAGGCGACGACGCGUAGCCGGACUGAGAGGUUGGCCGGCCACAUCGGGACUGAGACACUGCCCGGACUCCUACGGGGGGCUNCAGUAACGAAUCUUCCCCAACUGCGCGCAAGCGUGAGGGAGCGACGCCGCGUGUGGGACG
rnacentral:rRNA from 1 species